rnacentral:rRNA from 1 species
AUUGAACGCUGGCGACAGGCCUAACACAUGCAAGUCGAGCGGAUGAAGGGAGCUUGCUCCUGGAUUCAGCGGCGGACGGGUGAGUAAUGCCUAGGAAUCUGCCUGGUAGUGGGGGAUAACGUCCGGAAACGGGCGCUAAUACCGCAUACGUCCUGAGGGAGAAAGUGGGGGAUCUUCGGACCUCACGCUAUCAGAUGAGCCUAGGUCGGAUUAGCUAGUCGGUGGGGUAAAGGCCUACCAAGGCGACGAUCCGUAACUGGUCUGAGAGGAUGAUCAAUCACACUGGAACUGAGACACGGUCCAGACUCCUACGGGAGGCAGCAGUGGGGAAUAUUGGACAAUGGGCGAAAGCCUGAUCCAGCCAUGCCGCGUGUGUGAAGAAGGUCUUCGGAUUGUAAAGCACUUUAAGUUGGGAGGAAGGGCAGUAAGUUAAUACCUUGCUGUUUUGACGUUACCAACAGAAUAAGCACCGGCUAACUUCGUG